GUCAGCCCGAGACUCCAACUCCCGGCAGGCCGUGCUGCCGGCGCGGCGUGUGACGCAACGGCUAUCGCGGCACAUGAGUGGCUGUCAGCCCGAGACUCCAACUCCCGGCAGGCCCUGCUGCUGGCGCGGCGUGUGACGCAACGGGCGACGCGGCCCGGCAUUUUUCUCUAAAUCGGCAGUAAAUACAGCUGAGUAAAAUUAGCUUGGUUUUCUUCCUUCUUUUGUAACUGAACUGUUUUUAUUAAAAAUCCUAUUUGAAUAUGUAGAAAAAGUGGGGAUGUCCUGUAAUAUAUCGUAGCUUUUCUUGUUUACAGGGUACUGAGAAAAUACGUCUCCCUUAGAGUCCCGCGGAAAGGUUCUCAGUGCGCUCUCUAUCAAGUGCUAUGAGUCUUGAUAAAUUGGAGAAGAGCCCAAGAGAAAUUUUUCAUCCCUUGAUAUAAAAGGAUUUAUUGGUUCUGGAAGAACAAGAGGGAAGUACAAGCCUAACUACUUCUAGCUCACAGGCCCGUCCAGUGAACCCAGGGACCGGUGAAUUUUAACUUUGGAGUCCCCUAUGCUAAGGAUGCUCAGCUUACAGGUGAUGAAAUGUUCAGUAAUGUAUUUGCUGCAGCUCUGCUUACCCAAGCUUUGGGUUCCUUCUGUCCCACUGGGAGUUGCCCAGUUUGGUUGCAUCUGGUGAAAUUCACCCUGAGACCUUACAGAACUAGCUCCAACUACGUGAGAGCCAUUUGCAGUUCUCUCCAGACACCUGGAGAAUGGGUGACGUUUCUGAGGAUCCGGCGAGCGUGCUUCUAUCAAAACUCAGUCUGUGAAAUUCCUGGGGAAAACCCUUCUGUGUCCUGAAGGGUUCAAACUCUGGUGAGGAUCCAGUUAUCAGGGGCUCACCUGGAUGGUUCCAGCUCCCAAAGUUAACACUUGUACUCUUGCCCUGUAGUUUACAUCUAUUGUAUUUUUGUUAUUUUGCAAGAUUUUUUGUCUUUGCAAAAUAUUGUGCAUUUCACUCUUUGGAACCUCUCAGAUGGUUCUUUGGUGCAGCACCACCCCAGGGGACACUUGGCUGCUGUCCUGAAGGGUUUGGUCGCUAGAAUUGUGAAUCCUGGAGAGUUUGUGAGUCUUCUGUCCCCAGGGAGGGAAAGACUCUCGUAUCCUUGUCGUCGGGCUCGGUGCUGUCCAAGAAGAUACAGAGACUAAAAAAAUCAUAAGAAGCAAAAUAUGACUGCAGGGAAAAGAAGCUGGAGAGAACAGAAGACUCAUCACGGCGGGACAGCGUGAGGACUGAAAGUGUAAGAAGAUGUGGAGGGAAACAGAGAAUCUGACAGGAGCAGCGAACGCACGAGUGCAGGAAUUUUGCUUUUUGCUUGGAUGUAAACUCAGGAGUUGAGAGGAAUUUGGGAGUGAGAAGGGACAUUUCAGAAGGAGAAGAAGAAAAAGAGGUUGUUGUUGUUGUUACAGUCCUGGCAAAAUCUUUUGUUCUAGCUAAUAAAAGAAGUUAGUUUAAAAAACAAAAAGGAAAAAAUGUAGUGUUUUUUUUUUCCUUCACUAUGAUAUUCAUUGGUGGUAUAUGGUGUGUUGUUUCAUUUCUUGGUAUUAUUAACUCUGUGUAAAUUGUUUUUUGAGUGAAGCUGACUUUCUGGAUGGGUUGGUUUGUAUUUGAGGCAGGAUUAAUUUCAGUAGGGUUCUUUCAUAGAUUUCUGAUGGGUAUUACUGGGAUUUUGGUUUUGUUUACUGUAUGUAUAAACCUAGAGCUUUGGUAGGGCCAGCUGGGCUGCUGGAGUUUUGGGUGUGAAUUUAUUAGAUGGCUUUUGUUAGAUGCAGUUUUUAAUUUUUGAAAUGUUUUUCAAUGUAGUGGUUUUAA